AAGAGACCCCCCAGCAGCCAUGCGGCCAGAAGCCGAGCGCUGUGCCGGCCCCGUGUCACCGCGGUUUGGUGGCCGCUGUCCAGCUGCGAUCCCGCAGGGAGGAGCCGCCAGCCCAGCGCGACCUGCUCUCCCCCGGGAGUGCCUGCAGAGACAGCGCCGCUGGGAGCAGCGCUGGCCAUCGGCCUCGGCUCGCCCCCGCCGCAAGCUGCAGGGAAGUUCUGACAAGAUGCGCUGUGCAGAAAGGAAAUCAUUAGCGUUCACUGGAGUGCUUCUCAGCUGCCUAGGAAUGAUAUCUCCAGCAAACACAGCUCCAGAUAUACCUGUUAUUGACCAAGCUUAUUCAAAACUCAGCAACAGUAUCACAGUGGAAUGGAGAGCAGUACCUGGGGCUACUAAUUACAUGCUGACUGCACAAGAUGGAGAUUCCUUCAUUGAAACUAUGGUAAAAAAUUCUCCAGGCACAGUGACGGGACUGAAGCCUGCCACCUUGUACCGAAUCACUGUCAGAUCUGUAAAUUCAGGAGGAAAAAGCCAGCCUUCACCUUUCAGAAAAGUAAAAACAGUCCUGGCUGCUCCAAUUCUGUCUGUUCAUUCUCCAAGUUGUGACUCCAUUGCAGUGAGCUGGAAAGCUGUGCAUAUGGCAGCUGGGUUCUCUGUGUCACUCAUGAGAUCAGAUGGUUUGGGCAGAAUGCUGAAGCAGAACACCACCAAUACCUCCUUGAUAUUUACAAAUCUAGAUCCAGGAACUCUCUAUACCAUCAAGGCUUAUGCCUGGAAUGCCAAUGGGAUGCCUGGAGAUGAUUUCAUAUAUAACCAAAGAACAAGUCCUAAUGCACCAGUGGAUGUUAAAGUAGCUUUCAAUAGUGGUGCUUUAAGAGCUGUUGUCUCUUGGAUGCCAACAGAAGGAGCUCUAACUUACAGUGUUACAGUCUUCAGUGGACUCCUGAAAUUGAGGUGUAACACAUCAUCUGCCUACUGCAUGGUGCCAUCCCUCCAGUGUGGCUCUGAAUAUUAUGUGUCUGUCACAGCAUACAAUGAUGCUGGAUCCAGUGAACCUACUGAUGCAGUGAGCUUAAAAACUGUUCCUUGUGCACCAGUAAACAUCUCAAUUGAGGAGAAUGAACCUGGUCACUUGCUGGUAUCGUGGUCUAGCGUCAGUUUGGGUCAUUAUUACGUGGUUUUUGUGAAGAGUGAUGAUGGCUUGGAAGUGCACUGCAACACAUCAUAUACUCAAUGCCAUUUCCAAUCUGACUGUGGUUUCACUUAUUUCAUUAGUGUCUUUGCAUAUAACAAGGCAGGGCAGAGUCCUUUAGGUGAUGUAUUCAAUUACACUACUGCUCCUUGUUGCCCCAGUGACUUCAGGGCCGUGUUCAUGUCAAGCGACACGGUGCGGGUCACCUGGGCUCCUGUGCGAGGCGCUGACCUGUACGAGACCCGGGCAGCGGGCGGCAGCGGCGUGGUGCUGUGCAGGGACACGGCCACGGCCUGCACCCUGUCGGCUCUGCAGUGCAGCACCCCCUACAACAUCACCGUGUACUCCUUCAGCGAGGCCCGGGGCAGCAGCACCUCCUGUGCGCCUCAGUACGUGGCAACAGCUCCUUGCAGUCCUGAAAUUAAAAAUAUCUCUAAGGAGGGUGUAUCUGUAAUCAGUGUGCAGUGGCAACCUAACAAUGAAGAAGCUACAUAUGUUGUCACUGCCAGAGGAGAGGCUGGACUUUGGCAUUGCACAAGCACCAGGAAUUCCUGUACCCUAAUGGAUCUUCCCUGUGGAUCUGCUUUCUCUGUAAGUGCUAUAGCAAGAUCACCAGCAGGACAGAGCUUACCAAGCUACAGUAUCCCUUUAGAGACAGCUCCUUGUUGCCCUAAUGACCUGAUACUAGCUCAAGUGACACAGUCGGUAACCAAUAUCAGCUGGUCUGUUGGGAGGGGUGCACAGACAUAUGUGACAACACUGGAGUCUCCAAAAGGACAGGCAAAGUGUCACACACUUCAGACCUACUGUCUCCUGGGAUGUAUCACAUGUGGCACCAACUAUACAGUGUCUCUGACAGCCAUUAGUGAGACGGGCUUGACAUCCAGCUGCACCUAUCAGGGAUAUUCUUCCAGUGCUUGCUGUCCUUCUGGGGUGAAGCUCUAUAGACUCAGCAACAAUGGCAUCAGGGUAUUCUGGCGAGCUUCUGAUGAAACAAUCAACCACAGUGCUGAUUUACGUGGCUCAAAGGGCAAUUUCAGCUGUACCCCUAGCUCGGGUCUGAGUCACUGUGAUAUCACCGAGAUACCUUGUGGGGAUGUCUACACUGUGGUGGUAGCUCCAGUGACUGACAAGGGGCCAAAGCUCACGUUUUGUCCUAAGAAAAUAUAUUCAGUCACCUGUUCUGGAAGCUCUGUUGGAAUGGCCUUCCCACAUCCCAUUACAAAUGAAGAUAAGUGGCACUUCUGCUUUCAAUUUUCAAAAAGAUAAAAAAAGAAAAGUGUAGCUCAUCUCAAUCUAUUCUACCUUAUUUCUUUUGGAUUUCAGCAGGAUAGUGCUUUAUUUGGUUAUGUCAACUGCUAGAAAUAACUUCAGAAGCAGCCACUGAAACAAAAAUUUCUCAAGACAGUUACUUUUUCAUAACUGAAAUUGUCUUAAUUUCCAAAUUCUUUUGUAGUUAUUUCCAGAGGAAAGAGCAAUGUAAAAUACAUCUAGAUCAAAUUCUGGUUCAGAUAAGGAGUCUUUUUUUUCCCCUGAAGCUGGAAAGACACAUCUGUGCUUAACUGCAACAUUCACAGCUGCUUGAGGACUGGAACAGGAAAGCUGAACACUAACCCUAUCUGAGCCCUAAUCCAGGCAGGACCUUCUCUCAUACUCCACAGCCGUUACUUUUUCAGCUGACUUUGAAAGCAAAGUUUAAGGUCAAUGGUUCUAAAAACACGUGUGUAAUCUAAUAGAGUCUUCAGAAGCUCAUGUGUACAAAGGUAUCCAAAGACUACAGGGUUUUUAGUGCUGUUUUCAUCUUAUAAAAACAGACACCACCCAUUCUGGAACCUGCCUUUAUUCAGAGAACACGUCAGGUGUUAGGUACCUCAUGCAGUGCUUCUGAUCGUUGGUGCAAGGUCUAUGGGAAUCUCACGCUGCAGUAGGUUGCUUGUUUAAUCACAAUCAAACAAGUCUCUCUUUAGGAAACAUUAUUUUAAACUGCCCUGCAUUAGUUAACAGAAAACUGGUUUCAUUUCUCACUUAAUAAAAAAAUAAACAGCCUUCUUUCUUGAA